rnacentral:rRNA from 1 species
UCCGGUUGAUCCUGCCGGACCUGACUGCUAUCGGAUUGGUACCUAAGCCAUGUGAGUCAUUGUAGCAAUACAAGGCAGACGGCUCAGUAACACGUAGUCAACCUACCCUAUGGACGAGAAUAACCUCGGGAAACUGAGGAUAAUUCUCGAUAGAUCAUAACUCCUGGAACGGUUUAUGGUUAAAAUGAUUCGUCGCCGUAGGAUGGGACUGCGGUCUAUCAGCUUGUUGGUGAGGUAAUGGCCCACCAAGGCUAUUACAGGUACGGGCUCUGAGAGGAGGAGCCCGGAGAUGGGUACUGAGACAAGGACCCAGGCCCUAUGGGGCGCAGCAGGCGCGAAACCUCUGCAAUAGGCGAAAGCCUGACAGGGUUAUUCUGAGUGACUUUCGCUAAGAAAGUCUUUUGACACCUCUAAAAAUGGUGUAGAAUAAGGGGUGGGCAAGUCUGGUGUCAGCCGCCGCGGUAAUACCAGCACCCCAGCGUGGUCGGGACGAUUAUUGGGCCUACAGCAUCCGUAGCCGGUUUUCAAGUCUUCCGUUGAAUCCCCCUGCUCAACAGAUGGGCUGCGGGAGAUAAUACUGGGC